ensembl:lncRNA
ACAGUUAAGCCAAAAAAUAAAGAUGGCGUCUGAAAGUUGUGGUCGGUGGUCAGUUUGUGAGUAAAUCAUCAUUCUACUUUUGCUUCAGACUGACAGUGAUCCUGAUGACCCUGAAAUUCUGAGUAGUCCAGCACCUUCAUUGUGCAAUUUGUGAAGUCUCUAACUGCAGACAAGAACUGACAGUAUCCCUCGUUCCUACACGCCCUUUCCGCUGACCUUUCCUGUCUGCUUUUCUCUGGUCCAGGCGAGAGUGAUGAAGCCUCUCAGUGCUCAGGCCAGUAUGACUAAGACAGAACAAGAUUACCUGUGACAUGGGCAGGGGAACAGAGGCACUAGAGUGUUUAUUCAGUGACACGGGCGUGCUGCAGUGCAUUGUGGGGCUGGAGUCGAUGCAUGUUCCAAUGAACUGCCUCAUUCGUCUCGAUAUGACCAGUCUGUGGUCUCUCUCUCUCCCUAAUGGUGCUGUUGUUCUGUCCUGAUGACCAUUUGUGGGAUUGGACGGAGGCAGCCGUGCCUGACUUGGGGGCUGAUGGUCCACUGAUUGCACAGAUGUCCCUAAGAAGGCGAGAUGCUGUGGAAAUGAUGGAUGACGUGAGUCCUGCCCCUCUGCCCUCGGCUAUCAAGCGCUGUCUGGAAAACAACGGAAAACCUCUCAAUCAACGGAGACUGUCCGGAAGUUUAAAAUGAAACUAGUUUGAGAUGUAAAAGAUGUGCUGGUGUGUUACCUGUUGGAGAGCUUGAACUCCUGCAAGUUUUACAGUUUGUAUACGUAAGAUAGAGACUGCUGGGUGAUAUGGCCAAAAAAUAUGGCAUAAUAUCGAUAUUUACGUAGCAUGAUAUUCAUUUACCAUUAAAUAGAGAAGAAAAUGCUUUUCACAUGUAUGAAUAAAAAAAUGACCAGUCUGUUCACAAUUUAACUUUGAAGAGUAGCUUCCUUUUAAUUUAGCACUCUGUGAAAUCCAUUUUUUCCCUAAGAUUUUUUUAAAUUCUGUAUUUUAUUAUUUAAUACAAGUUUAUCAUCACAACUUGUCUAAGUAAACAUUAACAACUUAAUUAUCUUUUAAAAUGUAAUCACAAUAUGAUAUUUAUAACAAAACAUAG